CACCCCUGGCAAUGGGCAAAGAUAUACCUUGGUGGGUGGUGGUGUUUUUAUAUCAGCUAAGGGCAGAGUAGAUGGCAGUCCUUUGUUCAUUCUAGCUUGAUGCCUGGCUUGGUGGCUAAAGCUGUCUUAUGCUUAGGACUCAUAA